rnacentral:lncRNA from 1 species
CGACAGUUGCUGAGGCUGUGAUGCAAACGCACGCAGGAAGCGUUGUGCAAGCAGGCUCUGGAGACCCGCAGGCUCCUGGGCAGAGGGCUGCCUUCUGUGUGGGCUUGCCCCUCGCCACACCUGGCCAGGAGCCUCCCCCAGCCCCGUGACCCUUGUGUCAGAGCCUGGCCAGAUGACAGACGGCCUGGGGUGCAGGCGAGACCCACUGAACUGGCAGCUGAGGACAGGUCCAGGCCCAGUGGCUGGGGGACUUCUCAGAGCAGGUACCACAACAGCUACCCAAGGACUCAGGACUUUUCUCCCACAGCCAGACUUGGUGAUUGCAUGAAGGAGCCCAGCCUCGGAUGACCUUUCCCCGUGACAAGGCACUAGGAGAGCACAGACCUCCCCACACAAACAUAACACACAAGAGCUCAGGUAACAAGAAGAGAACUGUACCCGGAUGAUGAACUGGAACAUCCACCCUCAUCUUCACCUCCUCCACCCCAGGCCAUGUGCUUCACAGUCACACAGGGGAGCUUCUGGAAUGGACAGUGUUCCUGGUGUUGACUAUAGCCGUGGGCCUCUGAGAAGCUGAAGCAGUGUUGGGCGGAGACAGCUUCAGGGUCACCAGGCCCAGCUAGAACUCCAGGCUGACCUCAGGGCAACGUCCAGCAUCAAGAUGAGCUCCUGGGGCAUGAGGCUACGCAAGGCCUGAGACCCCACAGAUGGAGGACGCUGGGCCACCUGGUGGGGCUCCUUCAGCAAGAGAGGAAAGCAGGCCAAGGCCAGAGGCAGCUGCUGUCUGAAGAUGGGAGGGAGGCGUGCAGGCCUGGCUCCAGCCCACGGUGCGCAGCAAACUCCAGCCUGCUAGACGCAGAUGCAAUUGGAGCCAAGUGCACCUUGAUACCUCCAAGAUGUGACCCCUUACCAGACCCUAAACAAACCUUGUUGACAGAGCCAGACCACCCCUAUUUGAAUCAGCUGCGUGGCCACGUGCCUGUCAUUCGGUCUCUCUGUCCCCAUUUCUACAAUGUAAAACAGGAAAGUGAAACCCAUGGGCCAGCGGCCGCAUGCAGGAAAGCUGGCACUGUCAGCCAUGGCUGUGGUGACUCCCUGGGCCUUAAGCGAGCAAAGAGCCCACACACCCAAAUUCAGCACCUUCUUUCCUGUUCUCCUUUGAAGGAAACACUCUUCAUAUAAAAAGACAGGAAAAGAAACUCGAGACUUUUUCUUCUUUUGGGAGGGUCUCCAAUUUAGAAUCAGCAUAUCAAUAUUCUCUCUAAACCAAUGCUUCUAUUAAGGCAGAGUAAAUGGGAAGAGAAAUUCCACGGCCUGCAUCUAGCUUGUCACUGCAAAGUGAUUCACACAAACACACACUCACACUUUCACACACACGUGCACCUCUGAUUGAAGCAUUGCUGCUGAACUGAUGAGACACCACUAUGUAACCUCUGUUUUUCAAUUAAGUGCAAAAAGCCAAUUCUUAAUCUAUGCCAUAAACUUAAGUACAAGUGUAGUUGAAAGCAAUGAUGCCACAAAAGACCAGGUCACAGACUGACUGGGGGCUGCGCUCAACUUGUAAGCCUCUUGCCUCACUCCUCUGGCAGCUACAAGUGCUAGAAAAUGUCAAAUCUGCAUUAUUCACUUGUUAAUACUGACCUGAGACACCCAACCUUGCGUGACCUUGAGCCAAACACAACUCUUAGGAUGUAACCUGCUUUACAAGAUGAGAAAGACACGAGUAAAAACAUCAGCAGACUCUGGAAGAGUCAGUAAACAAACAAGCUGUCCUUGGAGCAAGCAAGCGCUUCCCUUUCGGCAUCUCCCCCUCUCUGAGCGGCAGCCCUGCAAGUGAGGCCAAUAGCCGUCCCUCAGCUGUGUACAGGACAGGCAUUCUUGGACCUCAGAGUCCUGCAGUAGCAUUUUGAGGACGCCAAGUUAUUGAUGGGGACAGGUGCUCAUAAUUCAGCAUAACCCACCCAAGCCGUGUUUCACUUUUUCUGGAAACCUCUUGAUUUAGGAAUGAAAGCCCCUGGCUCCCCCUGGGCUGGGCUGGCCAGUAAACAUCUCAGUCUGAGUUUGCCGAGGUGGGUUGCUAAAUUUAAUUGCCAGUUUCCACACCAUGUGAUGGUGUGUGACAGGCCAGCUCACCCUGUGAGUUAGCCAAGGGGUUUUAAAUAAAUGCUUUCUGACGGAAAGGAUGAUAAAGGUUCCUAUUAUUCACCAGUGAGCCUGGAGACUGAGCUGGUCCGGUUUUUACGACUGAGGCACAGCAAUGUCAAUCUCAUGCUCUCUGUCACUACUUCCCACUGUGGCUUGACUAGGACAGCCUUAAGCGGCCUGCAGAAAGAGCUCCAGCCGGGUAGUCAGGAGACCUUUGCCAGCCCGAUCCGUCCAAGGUUUCUGUGACCUUGGAAGGCAAAUAGCUCUAUGGGCCAGCGUCAGCCUCUGCGUCUGCAGAGAGGAGUGCUUCACAGGUCAUGCUUGGGGCUUUCAGGAAGCAUGUAAUAGAUAUGCAAAGGCAUUGCUGUUGGUGAAACAUCCGUGGAACACCAGGCAACAAACCACUAAAAGCAGCAUUUUUCUUGCUCCGAUCCUUUAAAAUAUCGAUGGAGAUAAACUGAUGCUGCUAUUUGUGUUUUCCUUGACUAUUUCCUUACGAAGCCCUGCAGUCACCGAAUGCUCACUCAACCUUCCUUCAAAAGUGAUUCAACGUGUGGCCUGAGAAGCGGCAGCAUCAGCCUCACCUGGGCGUUGGUGAGAACGGCAGCAUCUUGGCCUCUCCUGCUGAAUCAGAGCGCGCUGCUUAACACGCUCCCGGGUGACUCGUACGUAGUCAGUGCUGGGAAGCGCUGGUCUACAGUCAUGUUUCUCAAGCUUGAAUGCACAUCCGAAUCCCCCGGAAGGUUUGCUAAAGCCUUGCUGGGCCCCACCCCCACGUUUCUGAUUCAGCAGGUGUGGGUCGGGGUCUGCGAACUUGCAUUUUUAGAAAGUUUUCUGGUGAUGGUGAUGCCUCUGGUCCAGGACCACACUUUGAGAACUUCUGGUCUUUCUUGAGCAGCUGUUUAGUGAUACCUUCAUUCCCACGUCACUAAGGGUGCAUAACGUCUCUUCGUUAUGUACUCUGGCUUCCUCAAUCCCUGGAAUUACUGUGGUAUCCUCGUGAUAUAUCUUCAUUUCUUCCUCUUUAAUCAUCCUUGAUCUCCCCCUUGAUUUCAAUAUGUGUUUAUCUCUCUUUCAUUAGGAAGCUCUAGACACAGAAAACCAGACAGCUCGGUGCUGUGCAAAAAUGGGAGGAUUUCAUGAAAAUCCUACUUUUUUCUCCCAUGUAGUUGUUUUAAAAUUCCACUUGUUUUUUGUUUGUUUGUUUGAGAUGGAGUCUCUCUCUGUCGCCCAGGCUGGAGUGCAGUGGCGCACUCUCCGCUCACUGCAACCUCCACAUCCCGGGUUCAAGCAACUCCCCUGCCUCAGCUUCCUGAGUAGCUGGGAUUACAAGCGCCCAGGCGAGCUGGUGGAUUCAACUGGGACUCAGAAGACUGCACUUGAGGAGAUCAUCGUGAGUUGAAGAUCUCUUGCUUAGUCUCGCAGAAACUUCAUCAAGUCUAGCUCACCUGGGAGUCAGUUGGUGCCGGCGAAUCAAUUCGUGCCAGUGAAAUUCACCAAGAGCCUGAUUUACAAACUAGAGAGCCAUGGCCUUAAUUUUAGAGCAAAAGACAAACUUUUCCAAUGAAUAUAGUUUUCUUGUCCAAUAGCUAGGACACCCCCCUCCACCUGCUGUGUACUAAUGAAGCAGAUUUUUUUUUUUGAGUUUUGCUCUUGUUGCCCGGCUGGAGUGCAAUGACACCAUCUUGGCUCACCACAACCUCCACCUCCGGUUUCAAGUGAUUCUCCUGCCUCAGCCUCCCAAGUAGCUGGGAUU